GGGGGGAGUGCCGGAUCCUGAGCUGUGUCACCUGGUGCCCUGGGCUCCGGGACCUGCGCAGCUGGAAUCACGCUCCCGGGCCCGCAGCCCCCU
rnacentral:pre_miRNA from 1 species